AUUGAACGCUGGCGGCAGGCCUAACACAUGCAAGUCGAACGAGUGGCGGACGGGUGAGUAAUGUCUGGGAAACUGCCCGAUGGAGGGGGAUAACUACUGGAAACUGUAGCUAAUACCGCAUACCCUCGGAUGUGCCCACAUGGGAUUGGCUAGUAGGUGGGGUAAAGGCUCACCUAGGCGACGAUCCCUAGCUGGUCUGAGAGGAUGACCAGACACACUGGAACUGAGACACGGUCCAGACUCCGACGGGAGGCAGCAGUGGGGAAUAUUGCACAAUGGGCGCAAGCCUGAGGCAGCCAUGCCGCGUGUAUGAAGAAGGCCUUCGGGUUGUAAAGUACUUUCAGCGGGGAGGCGUUACCUGCAGAAGAAGCACCGGCUAACUCCGUGCCAGCAGCCGCGGUAAUUC
rnacentral:rRNA from 1 species